rnacentral:rRNA from 1 species
AUUGAACGCUGGCGGCAUGCCUUACACAUGCAAGUCGAACGGUAACAGGUCUUCGGAUGCUGACGAGUGGCGAACGGGUGAGUAAUACAUCGGAACGUGCCCGAUCGUGGGGGAUAACGAGGCGAAAGCUUUGCUAAUACCGCAUACGAUCUACGGAUGAAAGCGGGGGAUCUUCGGACCUCGCGCGGACGGAGCGGCCGAUGGCAGAUUAGGUAGUUGGUGGGAUAAAAGCUUACCAAGCCGACGAUCUGUAGCUGGUCUGAGAGGAUGAUCAGCCACACUGGAACUGAGACACGGCCCAGACUCCUACGGGAGGCAGCAGUGGGGAAUUUUGGACAAUGGGCGAAAGCCUGAUCCAGCCAUGCCGCGUGCAGGAUGAAGGCCUUCGGGUUGUAAACUGCUUUUGUACGGAACGAAAAGCCUCUUUCUAAUAAAGAGGGGUCAUGACGGUACCGUAAGAAUAAGCACCGGCUAACUACGUG